rnacentral:rRNA from 1 species
AUUCCAGCUCCAAUAGCGUAUAUUUAAGUUGUUGCAGUUAAAAAGCUCGUAGUUGGAUUUUGGGUCGGGGGCACCGGUCCGCCGUUCCGGUGUGCACUGGUGGCCCCUUCCUUUCUGCCGGGGACGUGCGUCGCACUUAAUUGGGUGGCGUUCGGAGUCGGCGUUGUUACUUUGAAAAAAUUAGAGUGUUCAAAGCAAGCCAUCGCUCUGAAUACAUUAGCAUGGAAUAACAUGAUAGGACUCCGGUCUUAUUUUGUUGGUUUCCGAGACUGGAGUAAUGAUUAAGAGGGACAGUCGGGGGCAUCCGUAUUUCAUUGUCAGAGGUGAAAUUCUUGGAUCUAUGAAAGACGAGCUUCUGCGAAAGCAUUUGCCAAGGAUGUUUUCAUCA